UUUUGAAAAAACAAUGUAUUUUAUUUACAUAGAUUAAUUUUUCUUAACACAUUUAUUGCAGUUUAAAGAUAGUUACAUAGUUACAUAGCUGAAAAGAGACUUGUGUCCAUCACGUUCAGCCUUCCUCACAUUCGUUUUUUGCUGUUGAUCCAAAAGAAGGCAAAAAAAACCCAGUUUGAAGCACUUCCAAUUUUGCAACAAGAUAGGAAAAACAUUCCUUCUUGACCCCAGAAUGGCAGUCAGAUUUAUCCUUGGAUCAAGCAGUUAUUACCCUACAUUGAAAGAUUAUAUCCUUGAAUAUUCUGUUUUUGCAAGUAGCUGUUUGAACAUCUGUAUGUACUCUGAUAAAACCACUUCUUCAGGCAGAGAAUUUCACAUCCUUAUUGUUCUUACAGUAAAAAAAAACCCUUUCCUUGGCCUUAGACGAAAUCUUCUUUCUUCCAGUCUAAACGCAUUAUUGUGAGUAUUAUUUCUGUGAAGCUCACACCAACAAUAUGGAGUUCCUAGAAAAGAAGGAAAUUAGGAUAGAAAAGAAGGAAAUUAGGAUAGAAAAGAGGGACAGAGGGACAGUUUUGGAAAUAGCCCAUAAGUGGCAUCACAAAUAAAACAUAUAUACAUACAUUAAACUUAUGGGAUCCUUAACCGCUACAUAGUAUCUGUUUUUUUUAGAAAGAAACGAAAAGGAUCAAUAAUAGUGCAAUAAGUCAUUAAGAGUAAAAUAGAAUAAAGUGCUGUAGCGAAAGCUCAUGUGGCCAGAACUUCUUUAGGGAAAUCUGAGUUUUUAGCCAUAUACUGGACAUUACCACUAUAAUUUUGGCACUAAACCUGCUAAACUUGCUGAGGAAUGGUCCGCGGAACUUUGUACCUGCAUUAGCCUGGGUUUGGUGGCUUUUUUUUUUUUUAUGGUUAAAGAAACACUGUGACAUACAUGUCCCGAAGUGUUUGAAAUUAGUGGUAGUUACACUCCCAAGUUCAGACAUAGUUAAAUUAAAAUGGUAGCCACUGGCAAUUCGGGGUGUAUGACCUCUUAAAUACCC